rnacentral:rRNA from 1 species
UACGAAGGGGGCUAGCGUUGUUCGGAAUCACUGGGCGUAAAGGGCGCGUAGGCGGCUCAUGAAGGCUGUGGUGAAAGUCCGGGGCUCAACCUCGGAUCGGCCGUGGCGACUCGUGGGCUGGAGCACUGUAGAGGCGGGUGGAAUUCCGGGUGUAGCGGUGGAAUGCGUAGAGAUCCGGAAGAACACCAGUGGCGAAGGCGGCCCGCUGGGCAGUGGCUGACGCUGAAGCGCGACAGCGUGGGAGCAAACAGG